rnacentral:rRNA from 1 species
ACGGAAGGCAGCAGUGGGGAAUAUUGCACAAUGGGGGAAACCCUGAUGCAGCAACGCCGCGUGAAGGAAGACGGUCUUCGGAUUGUAAACUUCUGUUCUUAGUGAAGAUAAUGACGGUAGCCAAGGAGGAAGCCACGGCUAACUACGUGCCAGCAGCCGCGGUAAUACGUAGGUGGCAAGCGUUGUCCGGAAUUACUGGGUGUAAAGGGAGCGCAGGCGGGACGGCAAGUUGGAUGUGAAAUACCGCAGCUUAACUGCGGAGCUGCAUCCAAAACUGUCGUUCUUGAGUGGAGUAGAGGCAGGCGGAAUUCCGAGUGUAGCGGUGAAAUGCGUAGAUAUUCGGAGGAACACCAGUGGCGAAGGCGGCCUGCUGGGCUCUAACUGACGCUGAGGCUCGAAAGUGUGGGGAGCAAACAGGAUUAGAUACCCUGAUA